ACUAAAUAGAUACCCUGGUAGUCCACGCUGUAAACGAUGAGUGCUAGAUGCCGGAUUUUUUCGGUGUCGCAGCUAAACGCAUUAAGCACUCCACCUGGGAAGUACGAUCGCAAGGUUGAAACUCAAAGGAAUUGACGGGGGCCCGCACAAGCAGUGGAGCAUGUGGUUUAAUUCGAUGCAACGCGAAGAACCUUACCUAGGCUUGAAAAGCUUAUGACCGGCUGUGAAAGCAGCUUUCCCGCAAGGGCAUAAGUACAGGUGCUGCAUGGCUGUCGUCAGCUCGUGCCGUGAGGUGUUGGGUUAAGUCCCGCAACGAGCGCAACCCUUACCAUUAGUUGCCACCGGAGCAAUCCGAGCACUCUAAUGGAACUGCCUACGCAAGUAGUGAGGAAGGUGAGGAUGACGUCAAGUCCGCAUGGCCCUUACGCCUAGGGCUACACACGUGCUACAAUGGCCGCCACAACGGGCAGCAAAAUCGCGAGAUGGAGCGAAUCCCUAAAAACGCGGCCUCAGUUCGGAUU
rnacentral:rRNA from 1 species